rnacentral:rRNA from 1 species
GACGAACGCUGGCGGCGUGCUUAACACAUGCAAGUCGAACGGAAAGGCCCUGCUUUUGUGGGGUGCUCGAGUGGCGAACGGGUGAGUAACACGUGAGUAACCUGCUCUUGACUUUGGGAUAACUUCAGGAAACUGGGGCUAAUACCGGAUAGGAGCCCCUGCUGCAUGGUGGGGGGUGGAAAGUUUCGGCGGUUGGGGAUGGACUCGCGGCUUAUCAGCUUGUUGGUGGGGGAGUGGCUUACCAAGGCUUUGGCGGGUAGCCGGCCUGAGAGGGUGACCGGCCACAUUGGGACUGAGAUACGGCGCAGACUCCUACGGGAGGCAGCGGUGGGAAAUAUUGCACAAUGGGCGGAAGCCUGAGGCAGCAACGCCGCGUGCGGGAUGACGGCCUUCGGGUUGUAAACCGCUUCAGCCUGUGACGAAGCGUGAGUGACGGUAAUGGGUAAAGAAGCACCGGCUAACUACGUG